GUUGUAUAAGAAAGCAGGCUGAGAAAAGCGGGCGGUAAAUGUUGCUCUUCCGUGGCCUCUGCUUCAGUUCCUGCCUUCUGGUUCCGACCUUGAGUUCCUGCCCUGCCUUUCCUGGCGUUCUGCUGUGACCUGGACUGAGCCCGAGGGGAUGGAGGUGAGCAGCGGAAGUGGCACAGCUUAUCCGAGGGAGGACUGCAGCUGUUGGCGACACGCCUGCCUCACCCUAGCAAGUUGCAGGGCUGUCAGACCAGAAAGAACACAGCUGGAAAACUAACGCCGCCUAGGGGCUCGAGUCUGCAUUGCGCCUGGAUUCAGGCUGAGCCUAGCGCCACCUAUGCUGGGGUGUGGAGGACAGGAUGUGCCCAGUGGCCCUGGAGCAAAAGGCACCGGAAAGAUUAUUUUCUUAUUCUGCGUUCAAAGAGUAAAUACUGGAGCUUGCAGUCCGGGAGAACCGCUCAGUUCAAAACCAGGAAGACGGGCCUAAACUCAGCUGCUCAAAAAGAGGGAAAACUGAGCAUUUGGGAUUGAAUUCUGAAAGAGAGGGAGGUGCACCUAACAGGCUAGAUGCUGGUGGUCUCAAUAAAGAAUCGAUGGCAACGCGGUCAUUUCAGAGAAAACAUCUUACGUGU